GUGUAGGGUGUCGGCGGUAUGGAAAACGGUGCGGUUUAGAGGAAAGCCCGAGAGCUGGGGCAGCUGCUCAAGCAGGGCAGGGUGAUGCAUGGCAGCGCCAUCGGCCACGGGUGGUAGGGGGCGUGGUUCGGCCGGCGCUGGUGGGCAACACAGGGUGUGGCUGUUGGAGGAGAAAAUGGCUCCGCGACCUAUGGAAUAUCUUCAUAAUUAAUCUUCAAUCAUAUCUUCAUAAUUAAUAUUGUCUAGGAUAUCUUCAUAAUUAAUCUUGUCUAGAAUAUCUUCAUAAUUAAUCAUAUCUUCAUAAUUAAUUUUCAAUCAUAUCUACUAGGAUAUCAUUUUCAAGUGCUAUUGUCGCCAAUCUAUUGAUCCUUUCUUGCAUCAUAGUGGACCGCAAAUAAGAUUUCAACAACUUGAGUUUGGAGAACUUCUUUCU
rnacentral:lncRNA from 1 species